rnacentral:rRNA from 1 species
GAUGAACGCUAGCUACAGGCUUAACACAUGCCAGUCGAGGGGAAACGGCAUUGAGUGCUUGCACUCUUUGGACGUCGACCGGCGCACGGGUGAGUAACGCGUAUCCAACCUUCCCAUUACUGUGGGAUAACCUGCCGAAAGGCAGACUAAUACCGCAUAGUCUUCGAUGACGGCAUCAGAUUUGAAGUAAAGAUUUAUCGGUAAUGGAUGGGGAUGCGUCUGAUUAGCUUGUUGGCGGGGUAACGGCCCACCAAGGCUACGAUCAGUAGGGGUUCUGAGAGGAAGGUCCCCCACAUUGGAACUGAGACACGGUCCAAACUCCUACGGGAGGCAGCAGUGAGGAAUAUUGGUCAAUGGACGGAAGUCUGAACCAGCCAAGUAGCGUGCAGGAUGACGGCCCUAUGGGUUGUAAACUGCUUUUGGAUGGGGAUAAAGUUAGGGACGUGUCCCUAUUUGCAGGUACCAUACGAAUAAGGACCGGCUAAUUCCGUG